GCAGUCGUGGCCGAGUGGUUAAGGCGAUGAACUAGAAAUCCACUGGGGUCUCCCCGCACAGGUUCGAAUCCUGUCGACUGCG
rnacentral:tRNA from 1 species